rnacentral:tRNA from 1 species
GAUCGCGGUAGGUCAGUAGGACGAUCGCCACGCCUGAAAAGCGGAAGGUCGGCGGUUCGACCCCGCCCCUGACCACC